GUGCUUGCUUCGGCAGCACGUACACUAAAAUUGGAAUGAUACAGAGAAGAUUAGCAUGGUCCCUGCACAAGGAUGACACACAAAUUUGUGAAGCAUUCCAUAUUUAA